CUACGGGCCGCUGCAGUGGGGAAUAUUGCACAAUGGGCGUAAGCCUGAUGCAGCAACGCCGCGUGAGGGAUGAAGGCCUUCGGGUUGUAAACCUCUUUUAGCAGGGAAGAAGCGCAAGUGACGGUACCUGCAGAAAAAGCACCGGCUAACUACGUGCCAGCAGCCGCGGUAAUACGUAGGGUGCAAGCGUUGUCCGGAAUUAUUGGGCGUAAAGAGCUCGUAGGCGGUUUGUCACGUCUGCUGUGAAAAUCCAAGGCUCAACCUUGGACUUGCAGUGGGUACGGGCAGGCUAGAGUGCGGUAGGGGAGAUGGGAAUUCCUGGUGUAGCGGUGGAAUGCGCAGAUAUCAGGAGGAACACCAAUGGCGAAGGCACAUCUCUGGGCCGUAACUGACGCUGAGGAGCGAAAGCGUGGGGAGCGAACAGGAUUAGAUACCCUCGUAGUC
rnacentral:rRNA from 1 species